rnacentral:rRNA from 1 species
AGAGUUUGAUCCUGGCUCAGAACGAACGCUGGCGGCGCGUUUUAAGCAUGCAAGUCGAGCGGCAAGGGCCUUUGGGCCCCUAGAGCGGCGGACGGGUGAGUAACACGUGGACAAUCUGCCCCCCGGCCGGGGAUAGCCCAGGGAAACCUGGAUUAAUACCGGAUGAGACGGGACCCGCGGAGGCGGGAUCCGGGAAAGGCGCUGCGGCGCCGCCGGGGGAUGAGUCUGCGUCCCAUUAGCUAGACGGCGGGGUGAAGGCCCACCGUGGCGACGAUGGGUAGCCGGCCUGAGAGGGUGGACGGCCACAUUGGAACUGAGACACGGUCCAGACUCCUACGGGAGGCAGCAGCUAAGAAUCUUCCGCAAUGGGCGAAAGCCUGACGGAGCGACGCCGCGUGAACGAAGAAGGCCGUGAGGUUGUAAAGUUCUUUUCGGGAGGGGGAACAACCGUGGCAGGGAAUGGCCGCGGGAUGACGUGAAUCCCGGAAUAAGCCCCGGCUAACUACGUGCCAGCAGCCGCGGUAACACGUAGGGGGCGAGCGUUGUUCGGAAUCAUUGGGCGUAAAGGGCGUGCAGGCGGUCCUGCAAGCCCGGCGUGAAAGACCCCGGCCCAAUCGGGGGGGCGCGCUGGAAACUGCAGGGCUUGAGUACAGGAGGGGAUGCCGGAAUUCCAGGUGUAGGGGUGAAAUCUGUAGAUAUCUGGAAGAACACCAAUGGCGAAGGCAGGCAUCUGGCCAUGUACUGACGCUGAGACGCGAAGGUGCGGGGAGCAAACAGGUUUAGAUACCCUGGUAGUCCGCACAGUAAACGAUGUGCACCAGGUGGCGGGGGGUCGACCCCCGGUACCGUAGCCAACGCAUUAAGUGCACCGCCUGGGGAGUAUGCUCGCAAGGGUGAAACUCAAGGAAUUGACGGGGGCCCGCACAAGCGGUGGA